CGGGUGCACUGCACUUCAACUUUAAGCAGUAGUUAACUCUCGUUUCGCCACAGACAACGGUGAACGGAAAAUGAUUCAGGCGCUGGAUGAUGGAAUGCGUGUUUGGUGUUCACAGCUCCGGAGGAGAGGCGCAAAUCACAUUUCUGCAGCCGUAGUCAAAAACCAUCCAGUCAGCGGCAGCCAAUGUGCCUCGACGCCACACAAUGAGACGGCUUUCAGCUGUGAAUAUCAACGUCCUCCGGGUGCUUUCAAGGACACAGCAGGGCCUUUUGGCUCAUUCGCUCCGAACCAGGAGGCUCCAGCUGCAUUUGUCUGGCGCUCCGAGUCGCCCGCUUUCUUAUCAAACCUUUGUUUUUUUUCUUCCAGACAGAAUUGAUCUGAUAACCGGCUGGAAUGGGGACCAUUGAAAUAUGACAGCUGAGUUAUCAGACAGGGUUUUUUAACAAAACCUUGCAGACUGCCAAAGGCUAUGGAACUCUUGACACAUGGAACAAUGCAAACAGGAUGAGGGACUUUUGGUUCUAACACAUCUUUUCAGACAUAAUCUCUGUGGAUGUGAAGAAGAAAAGGUUACAGUAACUGAAAGACAUACGAGAUACCAGACGUUAGGGAUGGCAAACUGGAGAUCCCUACAAUCUCCACUGAGUUACAGGCAGCAUCGAGGUUAGUGUGGGCGCUGAGCUGUGGAGAGGCACGACGGGCCACGACAGAGACACUUCAGUGCAGGCAGGGAGAGGACUUUCGGAAUAUAAUGCCGCUCUCAGGAGAGAGUAGGGUAUGUGGGAGGAGGCAUCUUCUCUUCUAUUGCAGAUAGGAUUGAUCCCGUGGGAAGGGAAUGGAGGGCAUGUAUUGUAUUGUAGGCUUCAGGCGUGAUGUUUUCACGUUCGUCCACGUCAGACUCCAAUCCGAAGGGCCCUAAUGCACACCUGCUAGAGUUUCCCGCUCUCCUGACAGACGUGAGUGAGUCAGACAGAGGCUGAACAAAGGAGCUCCACCAAAGGGCUGUAAUUACAAGAAACCCUGAGCAGAAAACAGCCCCAUUUAGGAACACAUUUGCAUUGUGGGAACAAGAGAGACAAUCUAUCCACUUAGAGGCCAGAUCAGCACGGCGGGGCCAUCAUUAAAGAGAACAUCUGACACCCUGGAACAGUAGGGAGAUAUUUGUAACAUGCCCUGAUGUUUGAUGGCGCUCCCCUGUUGGGCCCCUGUGAACAGUACAAACCCACCUACCAGGUGAAUGACCCAUAGAGCCACUUUGUCCUCAGCACAAAGGACCUAGGCCUAGAUGCUAAGCUGAUGUGACAGAGCUGAAACAAGUCAUUUAUCUAUUUUGAAUCAGUGCAUUUCUUAUUCAUACACCCAAUUAUUCAAAGAGACGCAGCGGCUGAUGUCGAGACGCAGAGACGUGAUCAGAUAGUUUUGUUCCUCUCUCAAGGUCAAAGCAGCAAGUGAUGGAUGCUAUUGGCUCUGUGCCUAUAGACAUUGCUCUGGGAGAAUGAGUGGCUACAUGAUGUGGUAACUGUAUAGUACAGGGGUUGAUAUCACUGUUGUAUUAAUGCAUCACCACAGGUGCGUUAUAGAAAGACGUUCAUAAACAAAUUAUCAUCAAACGCUUAAAGGAUUUACUAACUUGGGCCUGGUACAAGGCGGCCAUUUUAAUGUUCUCUUUGAGCAGGUGGUCACAUAUAAAGUGUAAAACACCUUGGAGCAUUGUGACAUCACUGUCAAAUGCAUUAUGCUUGGAGAGAGAAUGUUCUCAGGCCUACUGUGAGUUGGGGACCACCCAUGGAGACAGUGAUGCUUCUCAGGAUCAUUCCAGAAUAUUAAAGGGUUAUUCUAUGUUUUCUUGUAUAAACAAGUCUUGUAUAGAGGCUGAACACUCUUGUGUGGCAGGUGACCCACUUGAACAUGGGGUAGCAUUCUGUUCUGGCUGGAUGGCAGCUAAUUUGCCUCUGACCUUUUCCCUUUUCCAUGGGCUGUCAUCGCCAUAGCGAUCAUAUCUCAAUUUCAACAAUAAGUCAAUACCUGCCCUUUCAAUUGCCUUUAUUAUGAACCAACUUCAAGCCAAAGCUAAAUAAUACAUUACAGAGAGCAUGUUUAAUGAUGCAUGCCGAUCAAAUCCAGAAAUGCCCUUUUAACACAAAGCAUCAACUUUGUUAUAAUGAAAGCACUUCCUCUCACAGUCAUGCACCAGCACGCCCACUACAGUCUGUUCCACUGCUGAGGCAACACGUCAAAUGUACCUAGUCUGUGAGAUACAAGGGAGAUACAAGGCCAGCUAAAAUAUCAGGACACCAAAGCCUGGAAAUCUCUCAAAUCAACAUGCUAAACAAAGAUGGAGGAUAAUGGAUUCAGGAUAGCAGACAGAUUAAAACAAGACCAGCUGCUUUUCGCUUUCAGUCGUUUUCCUCUAAGCACCUGAGGAAUCACAGAGAGUCUGAGUUUCUACUUCCCCACUUCCAUCUCAAACGCUCAUCCCUCCUGAUGUGUGUAAGAGUGUGUAAGAGCCCUACCCAAAUACAGGACGGCCAGAUGGCUUAGCAGGGCCCACAUCAUACCCCGUGCCUGGCUGGUGGCGCCCCAGACCAGACCAACUCCUCCUCACAACCCAGCCCAACUCUAACUGGGUCAGCUCCCUCCCUCCAUGCCCAAACCCCUACUCUGCCCUCUCCCAGGCGCAACACUGGCCAUGCUGUUUAUCUCUUCGUCUUUCUCUCUCCCAGUAUAUUGGCUGAGAAAGAUAGAUAUGGAGAUGCUGUAUAAUUAUUACUACUAGAAACAUGUUCUUUAAGCUACCAUCAAGGUUUAGGUUUGGAAAGGGUGCUGCUUUCAUUCUGGGCCUGUUCUGCAGGUUUUCACAUUUUUGCCAGGACUCUCAGCGGGCAGUGUUUUGGACCAGGACUCUCAGCGGGCAGUGUUUUGGACCAGGACUCUCAGCGGGCAGUGUUUUGGACCAGGACUCUCAGCGGGCAGUGUUUUGGACCAGGACUCUCAGCGGGCAGUGUUUUGGACCGUGCUGUUUGAGGAAUUUACAAGGCUGUCAAAUCAGCCGGGCUCUACAUCCAUUGGAGAUGAGAGGGAAAGCUGAAGCCAGGGAAGCCAGAGCGACGAGUAUUGCCGUCAAUUUCAUCAGAGAGGAAUCAAAAAGUUGACUUUCAUGUGAAGGACAUGCAAAAGAAUGGGAGGAAUAUCCAAUGACAGUGCACCUUAUGUGUAGAAUCCAUGAGUUAACUAGCCAGUUAAUGUUUAAUUAUGUCCAUUUAGCAAAGAGUUAAAUGUCAACUGCUAAUUGUCACAAACUAUUCAGCAGACUCUCCAUGUCAUUGAAGUCAAUCUAAUUGAAAUCACUGAAUACAUUGAAAGAUGCACUGUGGGGCAUUGAGUCAAGUGAUCUUACUUCGGACCAUAUACCAAAUGUAUUUUUCUUUGUGACUUGAUGGGAGAAAGUCAUUUUGCUGCAGGCAGAGGCUUUUAAGGUUAACUUAAUAAACUCUUGUAAAGGAAGAAAGAGAGACACUCUAACUGAAGGACUACUGUCAUCCAUCCCCAUUGCAGAUUAAAAACCUGCUUCCGAUUUAAUUCCCAAAAAGAGUGGCUUAAAACCACUCACUCAGUAUUUGAGCUGCAUGUAGAGGGAAGCCAUUUUAGAACGACAUCCAAACGCUGGAUUGCAAAAUGU